CGAGGGGGCAAGCGUUGUUCGGAAUUAUUGGGGCGUAAAGGGUGCGUAGGCGGUUUGAUAAGUCUGAUGUGAAAUCUCUGGGCUCAACCCAGAGUCUGCAUCGGAAACUGUCGGGCUUGAGUAUGGGAGAGGUGAGUGGAAUUUCCGGUGUAGCGGUGAAAUGCGUAGAUAUCGGAAGGAACACCUGUGGCGAAAGCGGCUCACUGGACCAUUACUGACGCUGAGGCACGAAAGCUAGGGGGAGCAAACAGGAUU
rnacentral:rRNA from 1 species